UGUAUAGGUCCCAGCCAGGCAGCCAAUAGUAGCCAGCUGCUGCCUCAUCACGUCUCACACUAGUUUUUCCCUUCUCGUUUGCCGUAUGUGAUCAUUGACAACAAUCAUGGCGUCUUCAAUGUCACUUCUCAGCUUAGGACGUUUAACCAUGAUCAAUACAGCUUCUAAAAUGCUCCUGAACCCUCUCAGGUUUACAAGCACAUCAACAUUGAGGCUGGCAGAGAAACCAGGACAAGACACACAACUAAUUAAAGUCGAUGAGAAGUUGGUAAGGAUCCCUCCCUGCUCAACAUGAGAUAUUUGGUGUUUGUUUGAUCUUCUGUUGGUCAAAUGCUUUCCUGGAAAUUUUGUUACAAAACUCUCCUUACUUUGCACCUACCAAAUAGAUUACCAACUGCAUUUUAGAAGACAAAAGUAGUAAAAUUAGGAGUCUCAUGACUAAUGAUAAAUGUAUUUUGGAUUAAACAGAUGUCAGUGAGAUAAAUGGUUAGGGAGGCAAGCAUGUUGUAGCACUAUUGGACAGACAAGACCAGCUGAUUAAGAGCUGACAUCAUGGGAAAUGACAGCUAUGAAUUGACAGUGUGGCAUCUGUGCUUGUUUUAGAGGAGAUGACAUCACAGGAAAUAUGACAAUGAAACCAUGACAGACUUGUUUCAUAGUAAAAGAACCGUAGCAUCCAUUCAGUUUUUUCAACAAAGCUUUUUGUAUAUAUUUUUAGGACUGCAUGUCAUGCAUGGCUACUAAAGAGUUCUGGCAUUUUGUUGAUUGUAUAUGAGUAUUUAAAGGUGUAUUAUUAUGAUUCUCAAAUGCAAAACCUAGGUAAAACAUAGCAGAACCUCCACAGCAGACACAGCACCAAAGCCGUCACUCACACGCAUUCACUGUGGACCCAGCCUGGGAGUUUAUUGUAAUUUAUGGUCAAACUUUGUAUGUUGACAACUUUGUACAUGGAAGUGCAUUCAAAGAUGUCAGGCAAGUGUAAUAAAUCCCACCAAAACCAAAAAUGAAUAAACGUCAAACCCUAAACAUCUGUAAGUCAGAUCAAAAUAUUAACACUUCACAUGCACACUCUGGCCACUGCGUUUUGUGGUCAAGCAAAUCUGCUGCUGAUGGCAAGGGAACUAGGAAACUACAGCUGCACACGCAGGCUUUGAUCCAUCUUGGUCGUCAGAGACGAAAUAUGCCUGCUGUUUUAUAAGACUAUUGUUGGUGAGGUUAGGCACAAAAUAAAAAUUACAAAAAAAAAAUCUCCACAAAAUUGAUCAGUUUGCCUUUAAACAGACUGACCAAAAUAUGUGGCAAAGGUGGCACAUUUGAGUUGUAGUUAGUGAGUUUUUUGCCCUAUGUAAAGAGGGCUUAAAGGUUAAGUAUGUAAUUUCUAGUAACAUUUAGGCCCUGUUCACAUAAGGACUCUUGCAGGUAAAAACGACAAAAUAUUUUAUCAGAAGUUUAUCUUUCAUUUAGAUGGGGACGGCGUUUUUGGGGGCUUAAAACGCAAAUAUCUGAAUUCACCCUUCAGAGUGGAAAACUUGAAUACACUCCACCGUAUCGUCUCCGUCUACACGGGCAAGAUGCAAAACUCUGCUCAGAUCUGCUCAUGUCGCGUGCGCGUUUACGUCACAUACAUGCGCCAGUACAGGGAAAUAAACAAACAUGUCGGAUUAUUUCCAUGGGACGGACCUUCAAGCUGCUCUGGCAGCUUCACUCAGAACUAAAAUGUCGUUGUCGUCUUCUAUGACCGUGUCAACAGAUGAUGUUCCCGUAUGAAGACAUAUUUAUACAUUUUACUUGUGUGUAUAGUAAUUGUAAAGAUCAUAGAUGUGUAAAAGAUAGUUAUUUUCCCGUAUCGUGUUAGUGUUUUAUUGCUAACAGCGGGCUAGCUGUUAUCAAAGUAAUAGUUAGCAUCUAGAUGUUUAGUCUGAUCAAGUGGGAGAGAGCGGUAUGGCAGCGGUAGUAGAGUGAAGCAACAGACAAGGGAGGGGGAGUGAGCAGCUGCCAACACAGAAGAAGAAAGAGAAGAAGAGAAGCUCCACACACACUGAAGACAAGUAACAGGUUUGUACUGAUGAUAUUGUAUGAUUUUCUUACCUGGUCUGUUCAGUAACAACAGCAGACAUACAAUAGGUAUUUAUAUAAUGCUAGCAUCUAUGUACUUUACAUCAUACUGUAAAUGACAGCGUAAUCUACAACAUCAGUCUGAUGUGUUAUCUCAUUACAAUAUUUCAAUUGUUGAGUAAUAUCAGUGGAACGAUUAUAUGAAAACUGGGAGGGAGAAUUAUACAAAUAUUUAUGAAUUGACCAAUUAUGUUCCAUAUAUUGCUAAAAAUAGUAUGAAUACUUUAUACCCUACAAACCCUAACAUGCAGUCCAUUGUCAUCUAUCAAACAUCAUUCAAACAAGUACUUUCUCUUUUGUGUUUCAUGUAUAUAGACUUCUGGUGGAGAUAACUCUGGAGGAGCACAGAGAUCUAACAGCUCAGCUGCUGGAGAGACAACCAGGUCUAGUUUUUGAUGCCCUGAUGAUGCAUCAGUGCAUAUUUAAAAGUAAUUUUACACUAUUUUACUUGUAUAUUUUGCUGGUACAACCUGAAGAGGAAAUAAAUAAUUAAAGAUGAA